GACACAUCACAUGGCCCAAAACCAAAACUAUGUUAGGUCUGCAGAAAUCUGAUACUAACCUGACCCGAGUUAUUUAAACACACUGAAUAUCCUUAAACAGGACUCCCAGACAUGUCAAAUUCUCGUUAAUAAAAUAACAAAACCUUUUUUCUUUUUUGGCAAAUAUGUCAAGAUUUCAAGCAUGAAUCCAUCUGCAGGUUAUCCAGAGGAUCAGGUGCAAUUUACGCACUGCAAAAUAUAUUAUAGAGGGUGGAGAUAAACUAAUUGAAUGGAUACUUUUUUUGUAAGCUUUAAGAAAAGGUAACGCCCAAGUCCGGCAGACAUUUAAACCAAAAAAAAAAAAUCUGCAUGCCAAGCAUUAGAAU